rnacentral:rRNA from 1 species
GGACGAACGCUGGCGGCGUGCUUAACACAUGCAAGUCGAACGGAAAGGCCUGCUUUCCCUUGUGGAUUGCGGGUACUCGAGUGGCGAACGGGUGAGUAACACGUGAGUGAUCUGCCCCCAACUUGGGUAUAAGCCUGGGAAACUGGGUCUAAUUCCCGAUAGGACUGCAGGGUGGUGCCUGUGGUGGAAAACGAUUUUCUAGUGGUUGGGGAUGAGCUCGCGGCCUAUCAGCUUGUUGGUGGGGUAAUGGCCUACCAAGGCGGCGACGGGUAGCCGGCCUGAGAGGGUGGACGGCCACAUUGGGACUGAGAUACGGCCCAGACUCCUACGGGAGGCAGCAGUGGGGAAUAUUGCACAAUGGGCGGAAGCCUGAUGCAGCGACGCCGCGUGGGGGAUGACGGCCUUCGGGUUGUAAACUCCUUUCGACCGCGAGGAAGCCACCUGGGUGGAAGGGUGGUGACGGUAGUGGUAGAAGAAGCACCGGCUAACUACGUG